CAAAAGAUAGUUUAAUUAAAACACUGGUUUUGGGGACCAGAGAUGGGUUUUCUUCUUUUGA
rnacentral:tRNA from 1 species